rnacentral:rRNA from 1 species
UACGUAGGGGGCAAGCGUUGUCCGGAAUCAUUGGGCGUAAAGGGUGCGUAGGCGGCGCGGUAAGUCGGGUGUGAAAUCUCGGAGCUUAACUUCGAAACUGCAUUCGAUACUGCCGUGCUUGAGGACUGGAGAGGAGACUGGAAUUUACGGUGUAGCGGUGAAAUGCGUAGAUAUCGUAAGGAAGACCAGUGGCGAAGGCGGGUCUCUGGACAGUUCCUGACGCUGAGGCACGAAGGUCAGGGGAGCAAACGGG